rnacentral:piRNA from 1 species
UAAGUGUGCCCUAUAACUUUCAGAUGGC